rnacentral:lncRNA from 1 species
CUUAUAAACCUGCCUGAGGCAGUGCUAGCUCUACACUUUACCCAGGAAAUCCUGUCAGUGGGAAGUGGGCUUCAACAGCACACUGUACAGAGGGGAAACUGAGGCUUGGCCUGUGAAGGCAAAGUAAGGUGGCUCUGAGGGUAAAGGGCCGGAUGCACAGUCACACGUACCUGAGCCUAAGAACCCUGGUGGCAGCAGGUGCCUUCCACCCCAGCACUGGGAACAGACAGAUUUGAAGCAAGAUGGCCAAGUGUCCCAGGAAGAAUGUUAUGCUGGAGUCAAACCUGGGACCUUAUUCAUGCUGGGCAAGUGCUCCACCACCAAGCUAUAUUCCCAGAGCCCCAUUUUAUAGAAAACACACACACACACACACAGAGAGAGAGAGAGAGAGAGAGAGAGAGAGAGAGAGAGAGAGAGAGAGAGAGAGAUUUACUACAAGCCAAGUCUUGCCUGGUGGUGGUGGUGCACGCCUUUAUCCCAGCACUCGGGAGGCAAAGGCAGGCAGAUCUCUGUGAGUUUGAGGCCAGCCAGUUCCAGGACAGACUCCAAAGCCCAGAGAAACCCAGUCUUGGAAAAAAAAAAAAAAAAAAAGUCACGUCUUACCCAUGCGACUGUCCAAUCGUGAGCUGAACAAGGAUGACACCAAUGAACAAGCCAAAGUGGAUGGGGAAAGCCCCUGAGGUCUCAACCUUACACAGAACUAUAGGCAACCGAGAACCACUGGGAGUGAGGGAGGUGGCCUUCCAGGGAAGAGCAUAGCAAUUGGCUGCCCAGUGCCAAAAGAACAACUUCCACAUUGGAACAUGGAAUUUGGAGUGUUCCCUGGCUAUGGUCACUCAUAUUCAGCUCCAAAAUAAGCCAUCUCUCAACCUGUUCCACG